UAACACAUGCAAGUCGAGGGGCAGCGCGGUGGCAGCAAUGCUACUKGCGGCGACCGGCGAAAGGGUGCGCAACGCGUGAGCGACAUGCCCGUCACAGGGGGAUAAUCGGCGGAAACGCCGUCUAAUAUCCCAUAACACCAUCAUCUGCAUGGAUGAUGGUUGAAAGCCACGGCGGUGACGGAUUGGCUCGCGUCCGAUUAGCCAGUUGGCGGGGUAACGGCCCACCAAAGCGACGAUCGGUAGGGGUUCUGAGAGGAAGGUCCCCCACAAUGGAACUGAGACACGGUCCAUACUCCUACGGGAGGCAGCAGUGAGGAAUAUUGGUCAAUGGGCGGAAGCCUGAACCAGCCAUGCCGCGUGCAGGAAUAAGGCCCUAUGGGUUGUAAACUGCUUUUCCCGCGGAGCAAUAAGGAUGUUUCGGACAUCCGAUGAGAGUACGCGGGGAAUAAGCAUCGGCUAACUCCGUGCCAGCAGCCGCGGUAAUACGGAGGAUGCGAGCGUUAUCCGGAUUCAUUGGGUAUAAAGGGUGCGUAGGCGGCUCUGCAAGUCAGCGGUGAAAUGUCCGGGCCCAACCCGGAAGGUGCCGUUGAUACUGUGGAGCUGGAGUACGGACGCCGGCGGAGGAAUGAGUGGUGUAGCGGUGAAAUGCAUAGAUAUCACUCAGAACACCGAUUGCGAAGGCAUCCGCCGAGACCGAAACUGACGCUGAGGCACGAAAGCGUGGGGAWAGAACAGGAUUAGAUACCCUGGUAUUCCACGC
rnacentral:rRNA from 1 species